CACAAGCCAAAUUAAAUAGCUACAAAAAUAUGAAAUUAUCGAAAAAUUACCAAAAAUGGCAAAAUCCUAACGAUCACACUGAAAUAAAAUAUGAAAUAAAAGAAGUAAGUUGCCAAAAAUUUGGCUCAAUCCGGAUUCUCUAACGUCUAGAAAAAAACGAAAUAUUACCAUAAAUAGUAAAAAAUAACUAAAAAUUGAAUUUUCGAAAGGAAAAUAAUGGAUUUUGGGCUCGAAAUUGACACUCAUUGAGCAUAGCUAGGUGACAACAAUGUGUGCGCUGAAGAGAGCUUUCCGAAUUGGGGUCAUAAUAGUGAUUCUAAUAACCAUAGUCAAAGUUAUGGUCAAAUUACCAAAAUUGUGCCAAAAUUGCCCCCAAUUAAGGAAAUAUUGCAUUUAUUUUCCACCUUUGUGCCGAUCCGCCAUCUCAUGGUAUCUCAGCGCCAUCAACGAGCUAUCUGACACAUCAGCAUCAUUCGACUCGAAUCCUCCUACACUCAGAUCCUCCUACAUCAG
rnacentral:lncRNA from 1 species